rnacentral:rRNA from 1 species
AACGAACGCUGGCGGCAGGCCUAAUACAUGCAAGUCGAAUGCCUGUAGCAAUACAGGAGUGGCAGACGGGUGAGUAACACGUGGGAACGUGCCCUUUGGUACGGAACAACUCCGGGAAACUGGAGCUAAUACCGUAUGUGCCCUUCGGGGGAAAGAUUUAUCGCCAAAGGAUCGGCCCGCGUCUGAUUAGCUAGUUGGCGGGGUAAUGGCCCACCAAGGCGACGAUCAGUAGCUGGUCUGAGAGGAUGACCAGCCACACUGGGACUGAGACACGGCCCAGACUCCUACGGGAGGCAGCAGUAGGGAAUAUUGGACAAUGGGCGAAAGCCUGAUCCAGCCAUGCCGCGUGAGUGAUGAAGGCCUUAGGGUUGUAAAGCUCUUUCGCCAGGGACGAUAAUGACGGUACCUGGAUAAGAAGCCCCGGCUAACUUCGUGCCAGCCGCCGCCGUAACAC